GUUAAUGUAGCAAAUCCUGGUAUUGCAAAAGCCCUAAACCCUUUCUAAAGAGGUUCAAAUCCUCUCAUUAACU
rnacentral:tRNA from 1 species